rnacentral:rRNA from 1 species
GAAUUGACGGGGGCCCGCACAAGCGGUGGAGCAUGUGGUUUAAUUCGAUGCAACGCGAAGAACCUUACCUGGUCUUGACAUCCACGGAAGUUUUCAGAGAUGAGAAUGUGCCUUCGGGAACCGUGAGACAGGUGCUGCAUGGCUGUCGUCAGCUCGUGUUGUGAAAUGUUGGGUUAAGUCCCGCAACGAGCGCAACCCUUAUCCUUUGUUGCCAGCGGUCCGGCCGGGAACUCAAAGGAGACUGCCAGUGAUAAACUGGAGGAAGGUGGGGAUGACGUCAAGUCAUCAUGGCCCUUACGACCAGGGCUACACACGUGCUACAAUGGCGCAUACAAAGAGAAGCGACCUCGCGAGAGCAAGCGGACCUCAUAAAGUGCGUCGUAGUCCGGAUUGGAGUCUGCAACUCGACUCCAUGAAGUCGGAAUCGCUAGUAAUCGUGGAUCAGAAUGCCACGGUGAAUACGUUCCCGGGCCUUGUACACACCGCCCGUCACACCA